UGUUCUCUUGCCUCCAACUAUGGUCACAGGGCAACCAGAUCAGAGGGCAGAUAGGAUUCACAUUGUUGUUGUUGUUUCGUCACUCAGUCGUGUCUGACUCUCUGCGACUCCGUGGACUGCAGCAUGCCGGCCUUCUCUGUCUUUCACCAUCAACCUCGGCAAUUUAAAAUUUGCAUACGUAUAUGAAAGCAGGAGUGGGAUGAGGGUGUGAUUAGAAACGAUCAGUGUGUCUGGAAAUGUUGCCAAGAUGCUUCAGGGUCUAAGAUGAGAUCACUCUAAACUUGAAAUCUCUAAACCCAGUCUGUGCCUGCUUUCCCCCUUCAGUUAAAUAACCAACAAUACUGAUCACUCUCAGUUUCCCAAAGACGCAUACUCUUGUUUAAUGAGAAUCCCAGGAGGCUGAUCUUUGUCAUGGACGUUUGUUGACAGGAAGGAAGUUGACAGUACAGGAAAUUUCCUGUACUGUGGGACUUUCAGGACACAGAAGCAGUUGAGAGUUACUCAGAGCAGCAGCGGGCUAAGUCACUUCAGUCACAUCUGACUCACUACGACCCCAUGGACUGUAGCCCGCCAGGCUUCUCUGUCCAUGGGGAUUCUCCAGCUGAAGAAACUGAGACCCGGAGGUUAACCUACUUCUGAAACAUGUGGUGACUAACCAGCCUCCAGGACGGUCCAGAUGAUCCUCGCCUCUUGGGUGUUCACACCUUUGUGUAGUCUUCUCUCACCCUGAAUCAGGACUGGUCUGUAGGGCAUGUCACAGCUGACUUGCACAACUGACUUUGUUCUCAGAUCCACAUGACUGGGUGUGAAGGACUUAAUGGUGUUGGGAGAAUAUUCCAAGUUUUGUCUUCUUUGACGAUUUUCACUCUUGAUUUCUUGUUUUGUUUGAAGAAGUCAAAGGGAAGCUUCACAUGCCAGCUGAGUGGGUCUCUUUUUCAUCAUUUUCUACAACUUUCCUUUACAAGAUUCAUUAUGACUCUGGAAAUGUGGUAACAUCUGUCAUAAGGGACUCUAAUAAAAACAAAAUCUGGUAA